AGGAUGAUGGUAUUUUUUUGCUUCGCUCUGCUCGCAGGACAAUUGGCUGUGACCUACCAGUCCUAGAGGUCACCUACAAAUCCAGACUUUUAACC